rnacentral:rRNA from 1 species
AACGAACGCUGGCGGCAUGCCUAACACAUGCAAGUCGAACGAGACCUCCGGGUCUAGUGGCGCACGGGUGCGUAACGCGUGGGAAUCUGCCCUUGGGUGCGGAAUAACAGUUAGAAAUGACUGCUAAUACCGCAUAAUGACUCCGGUACAAAGAUUUAUCGCCCAGGGAUGAGCACGCGUCAGAUUAGCUAGUUGGUAGGGUAAAAGCCUACCAAGGCAACGAUCCGUAGCUGGUCUGAGAGGAUGAUCAGCCACACUGGGACUGAGACACGGCCCAGACUCCUACGGGAGGCAGCAGUGGGAAAUAUUGGACAAUGGGCGAAAGCCUGAUCCAGCAAUGCCGCGUGAGUGAUGAAGGCCUUAGGGUUGUAAAGCUCUUUUACCCGGGAUGAUAAUGACAGUACCGGGAGAAUAAGCCCCGGCUAACUCCGUGCCAGCCGCCGCGGUAAAAC